rnacentral:tRNA from 1 species
AGGGUUGUGGCUCAGUGGUAGAGUGCUCACCUUGCAUGUGCAAGGCCUGGGGUUCAAUCCUCAGCAACACAU